rnacentral:rRNA from 1 species
UACGAAGGGGGCUAGCGUUGCUCGGAAUUACUGGGCGUAAAGCGCACGUAGGCGGAUUGUUAAGUCGGGGGUGAAAUCCUGGAGCUCAACUCCAGAACUGCCUUCGAUACUGGCGAUCUCGAGUUCGGGAGAGGUGAGUGGAACUGCGAGUGUAGAGGUGAAAUUCGUAGAUAUUCGCAAGAACACCAGUGGCGAAGGCGGCUCACUGGCCCGAUACUGACGCUGAGGUGCGAAAGCGUGGGGAGCGAACAGG